GCUGAAUUGACUAAAUUGUCCUAAAGGCAUCAGAUUCCUUCUGAUCUUGGAAGCCAAGCAGGUUCGGCUUGGUUGGUACUUGGUUGUAAAGACCAGCAAAGAAAAAGAGGGUAGUAAGCU
rnacentral:rRNA from 11 species